CCUACGGGUGGCAGCAGUGGGGAAUAUUGCUCAAUGGGCGAAAGCCUGAAGCAGCAACGCCGCGUGAGGGAUGAAGGUCUUCGGAUUGUAAACUCCUUUUGUCAGAGAAGAAAAUGACGGUAGCUAACCAAUAAGCAGCGGCCAACUCCGGAACAGCAGCCGCGGGAACACGAGGGGUGCACACGUUACGCGGAAUCACUGGGCGUAAAGAGGGUGUAGGCGGGAUGGCAAGUCAGGUGUGUAAUCCGAGGGCUUAACCAUAGAACUGCAUUUGAAACUGUUAUUCUGGAGUAUGUGAGAGGUAGGUGGAAUGCUUGGUGUAGGGGUGAAAUCCGUAGAUAUCAAGAGGAACACUCAUUGCGAAGGCGACCUGCUGGAACAUAACUGACGCUGAUGCGCGAAAGCGUGGGGAGCAAACAGGAUUAGAUACCCGGGUAGUC
rnacentral:rRNA from 1 species